UUUUUCUUCUUCUUCUCUUUUUCCCUCUCUCUGUGUUUCCACCGCCUGAGACUUCCCUUCCUCUCUCUCUGUUUCAUUCCGUCUGAGACCAACUCAAACCCUCCAAUUAAGUCACAACAAGCACUAUUCACCCUUUGUUUAAUAUUAUUAAAUUCCCAUUUUGCCCCUAACACUUCAACAUAUCUACAACUAUGCCAUUAUCUUUUGAUUCCUUCCAAUUUUACCCCUUAUAUAAUUUUAAAGAUCUAUUCUAUCCCUUUUUAUAUAAAAUUUUUUUUUGGGGUUAUUGCAUCCUUCCCCCUUAUAUAAAAUUCGUCCUCAAAUUUAAAAGAGUAAAUUACCUGAUUACUCAAAGGGGUGAGUGUAUCUUCUCUUCAUAUUUUGCUCGGUGUGGUAUUGGAAAUCAAAUGAAUUGGGAGUGUUUUACCUUCUAUCUCUACCACACAGGUAGGAUACACAUGCUUCGCUUUUAUACUAUCCCCUACAGAUGUACUAAUAGCUAAGAAAAUAGACAUUAAUAUCUUAUCCUUAGCUAACUUUUUAGCAAAAUAAGGAGACACAAAUGAAUGGGUAGCUCCAGAAUCAAAUAACACUCUAGCUUUAAUCUUAUCAAUGAGGAGCAUACCUGUCACAUCCUGUGCCUCCUGUGGAUUUACCGUGAACACCCUUCCUUGCCCUCUGCCUACUGGAGCUGAUGGCUGAGAUGGUCCAGCACUCUGCUGUGACGCUGGUGUCUGAC
rnacentral:lncRNA from 1 species